GACGAACGCUGGCGGCGUGCCUGACACAUGCAAGUCGGACGGUUCUUGUACCUUCAAGCUUGCUUGUUGGUGCAAGGAUAGUGGCGGACGGGUGAGUAACGCGUGAACAUCUACCCAUUGGAGGGGGACAACCCGUCGAAAGGCGGGCUAAUACCGCGUAAGCCGCGAGGUGAGAGGCUGCCUAUUGGUGGCCGCCGAUGGAUGGGUUCGCGUCCUAUCAGCUGGUUGGUGGGGUAAAGGCUUACCAAGUCAAAGACGGGAAACCGACGUGAGAGCGUGUACGGUCACAAGGGCACUGAGAGACGGGCCCUACUCCUACGGGAGGCAGCAGUGGGGAAUAUUGGACAAUGGACGAAAGUCUGAUCCAGCGACGCCGCGUGGAGGAAGAAGUCCUUCGGGAUGUAAACUCAUGAAGCUAACGAAUAAGACGGAAGGGGAACCGUUCCGGGAGAAGGUAAUUAGUGAAAGACCCCGGCUAACUACGUGCCAGCAGCCGCGGUAACGCUCGGUCUCUA
rnacentral:rRNA from 1 species